UACAGAGGCGGCAAGCGUUGUUCGGAAUUAUUGGGCGUAAAGAGCAUGUAGGCGGCUAUGUAAGUCGGUUGUGAAAGCCUUCCGCUUAACGGAAGAAUGGCGGUCGAAACUGCAUGGCUUGAGUGCGGGAGGGGAGAGUGGAACUUCUGGUGGAGCGGUGAAAUGCGUAGAUAUCAGGAGGAACACCGGUGGCGAAGGCGGCUCUCUGGUCCACAACUGACGCUGAGGCGCGAAAGCUAGGGGAGCAAAC
rnacentral:rRNA from 1 species